UUAAGUUCAGCGGGUAGUCCUACCUGAUUUGAGGUCAAAGGUUCAAUAGUUGUCUACAGAGAGACGGUUGGAAGCAGAACAAAACAGAGAGCAGUCUAUGGUGUAGAUAAUUAUCACACCAGUGACAAACCGCAAACAGUUCUACUAAUGCAUUUUAGGGGAGCUGACCUACAGGCCUGCAGAACCCCCAACAUUCCAAG
rnacentral:misc_RNA from 1 species